UACGGAGGGUGCAAGCGUUAUCCGGAUUUAUUGGGCUUAAAGGGUCCGUAGGCGGAUCUGCAAGUCAGUGGUGAAAUCUCACAGCUUAACUGUGAAACUGCCAUGGAUACUGAAGGUCUUGAGUAAGGUAGAAGUAGCUGGAAUAAGUAGUGUAGCGGUGAAAUGCAUAGAUAUUGCUUAGAACACCAAUUGCGAAGGCAGGUCACUAUGUCUUAACUGACGCUGAUGGACGAAAGCGUGGGGAGCGAACGGG
rnacentral:rRNA from 1 species